GUAAUGGGUGUAGUCUGUCUGAAAAUCAAACGGUUCAAAAUUUUCAGAUAAUUUUUUAUUUAAUUAAUUAUAAAAUUUUGAUAUUAAAAUCAAAUCUUAUAAAAUAGCAUAAAAUAAGCUAUAUAAGAUUUGUUAGCGCGGUUUCACCAAAAAAAAAAAGAAGAUUUGUUAGCGCGGGUGGGGUCGUAAGCAGAGAUUUGUUAGCGAAUUAACGAAACUGAGAUUUGUCUGUGAUUUAUCUAUCUACCUAUCUAGGGUUUACGAAUUGGGAUUCCUAUCAAUCUUCCGUGU
rnacentral:lncRNA from 1 species